rnacentral:rRNA from 1 species
CCUACGGGAGGCAGCAGUGAGGAAUAUUGGUCAAUGGACGUGAGUCUGAACCAGCCAAGUAGCGUGAAGGAAGACUGCCCUAUGGGUUGUAAACCUCUUUUAUGCGGGAAUAAAGUUUUCCACGUGUGGAUGUUUGCAGGUACCGCAUGAAUAAGGACCGGCUAAUUCCGUGCCAGCAGCCGCGGUAAUACGGAGGGUCCGGGCGUUAUCCGGAUUUAUUGGGUUUAAAGGGAGCGUAGGCCGGUCUUUAAGAGUGUCGUGAAAGUUUGUGGCUCAACCAUGAGAUUGCGGCGGGAACUGGAGAUGUUGAGUGCGGGGAAGGUAGGCGGAAUUCGUGGUGUAGCGGUGAAAUGCUUAGAUAUCACGAAGAACUCCGAUUGCGAAGGCAGCUCGCUGAAGUGUUACUGACGCUGAAGCUCGAAAGUGUGGGUAUCGAACAGGAUUAGAUACCCCGGUAGUC